rnacentral:rRNA from 1 species
AAUGAACGCUGGCGGCAGGCCUAACACAUGCAAGUCGAACGGAUCCUUCGGGAUUAGUGGCGGACGGGUGAGUAACGCGUGGGAACAUACCCUUUGGUACGGAAUAGCCGCGGGAAACUGGGAGUAAUACCGUAUGUGGUCGAGAGACGAAAGAUUUAUCGCCAAAGGAUUGGCCCGCGUUGGAUUAGGUAGUUGGUGGGGUAAUGGCCUACCAAGCCGACGAUCCAUAGCUGGUUUGAGAGGAUGAUCAGCCACACUGGGACUGAGACACGGCCCAGACUCCUACGGGAGGCAGCAGUGGGGAAUCUUAGACAAUGGGGGAAACCCUGAUCUAGCCAUGCCGCGUGAUCGAUGAAGGCCUUAGGGUUGUAAAGAUCUUUCAGGUGGGAAGAUAAUGACUGUACCACCAGAAGAAGCCCCGGCUAACUACGUGCCAGCCGCCGCGGUAA